rnacentral:rRNA from 1 species
GUACGGGGGGGGCAAGCGUUGUUCGGAAUUACUGGGCGUAAAGGGCUCGUAGGUGGCCAACUAAGUCAGACGUGAAAUCCCCUCAGCUUAACUGGGGAACUGCGUCUGAUACUGGAUGGCUUGAGUUUGGGAGAGGGAUGCGGAAUUCCAGGUGUAGCGGUGAAAUGCGGUAGAUAUCGGAGGAACACCGGUGGCGAAGGCGG